GACGAACGCUGGCGGCGUGCCUAAUACAUGCAAGUUGAGCGCUGAAGGUUGGUACUUGUACCGACUGGAUGAGCAGCGAACGGGUGAGUAACGCGUGGGGAAUCUGCCUUUGAGCGGGGGACAACAUUUGGAAACGAAUGCUAAUACCGCAUAAAAACUUUAAACACAAGUUUUAAGUUUGAAAGAUGCAAUUGCAUCACUCAAAGAUGAUCCCGCGUUGUAUUAGCUAGUUGGUGAGGUAAAGGCUCACCAAGGCGAUGAUACAUAGCCGACCUGAGGGGGUGAUCGGCCACAUUGGGACUGAGACACGGCCCAAACUCCUACGGGAGGCAGCAGUAGGGAAUCUUCGGCAAUGGACGAAAGUCUGACCGAGCAACGCCGCGUGAGUGAAGAAGGUUUUCGGAUCGUAAAACUCUGUUGGUAGAGAAGAACGUUGGUGAGAGUGGAAAGCUCAUCAAGUGACGGUAACUACCCAGAAAGGGACGGCUAACUACGUG
rnacentral:rRNA from 1 species